rnacentral:rRNA from 1 species
GACGGAGGUUGCAAGCGUUAUCCGGAACGAUUGGGCGUAAAGCGUCCGCAGGUGGCUGUUCAAGUCUGCUGUCAAAGACCGGGGCUUAACUUCGGAAAGGCAGUGGAAACUGAACAGCUAGAGUAUGGUAGGGGCAGAGGGAAUUCCUGGUGUAGCGGUGAAAUGCGUAGAGAUCAGGAAGAACAUCGGUGGCGAAGGCGCUCUGCUGGACCAUAACUGACACUCAGGGACGAAAGCUAGGGGAGCGAAUGGG